UAACACUCUCAGUCACCAAGGCUUAUGGGGCCUUCCACAUUUCCAAGUGUGACAAAUAGUCAUGAAAAAGAUAUGUGGAUUUUAAAGUUUAUUUUGUGAAGUAGUAACAUUCAUCUAACUGAAGAUGGGAACUUUUUAUUCAGCACAGAGAUCAUUGCAGUGAUUCCAAAUGCUUGGGAAGGACAAUGAAGACAGACUCUUUUCAAGUCACUUAUAAACUUGCUGGGGAAAAUUCAACAAGUAUCAAAGGACAAAAAGAAGCAAAGAGACUGGAAUGGACAAAAAAGAAGAUGAGGUUGGAGAAGCAGAUGGAGGCCAGAUUCUGGAGGACCACAUAGGCCAAGAGUUGUUGAGCUGGGAAGACAGAAGCUUAGAACUGCCAAAGGCCACAAUGUGAAGAGAGAUUUGUUUGAGAAUGAAGCUAACACUGAAGAAAGAAGAGUGAUUCAAAGUGUGGAGGAGAGUAUGUUAUAUGAGUCAUUAAACUCCCAAUUUACUUAAGCCAUUUUGAAUUGGAUUUUUUAUUAAUGGAAACCUGACCAAUACAGGACAGUGCCUGUAUGUAAUAGAUAUAGAAUAAAUAUAUUCAAUUUGCUUCUUUCCAAAAGAUUGUGUUAUAUUCAAGAAAACAAGACUAGCUUACAUGAAAUAAUAAAAAAUAUGAUGGUGCAGUAUAUAAUUACAUUCUACCAAUAACUGUGUGAGUGAGGUUGGAAGAAGAUCCUCCCCAAUCAAGGCUUCAGAUGAGAACACAGCCUUGGCUGAUACUUGGAUUGCAAACUGUGCUUGCAUUCCUGAUCCAUAAAAACUUUGCUGUAACAAAAGUCUGUUGUUUAGGUCAUUAGGUUGUCAUGUUAUGCAGCAAUAAAUAACUAAUACAGUUACUAUCAUCACCACGGAU